rnacentral:lncRNA from 1 species
GGCAACUAUCACCACGGUCUCCAUGCUUCCGGGGAGCUCCUGACUCAGUCCCGUUCACAUCGUCCUCAUGGGCUAAGGCUGCUGGAAGUGGCAAACUGGGGGAAGAGGAUGGCAGGAGCUAGGUUCCUCCACGACACCUCCAGAGACCUGAGGGCCUCAAGCUGCAGCUCCGGGGCACAUCCCGCUGCGCUCCCACGACGGCCCCGCGGAUGGCAAAGUCAGCGAAUUGACCACAAGAGAAGACUCCCUUUCAAACUCUUCAUUCUCUGGUUCAGAGGUUUGAUGUAAUGGUUGUCUCAUCGUACAUGGUCAGCCACAGGAUAUACUUCAUCCAUUUCAGAGCUGUACUCCUGAGUUCCAUGCUAUAAUCAGAAAUAUGUGGCACAUUUUGAACAAAGGAAAUAUAUACCCAACAAAGUGUUAAAAUGGAGCUGCCAACCAGACAAACCCUAGAAAUAUGUAGCCACUUACAGGCAGAACACAACUACAUGUGUUCCCAAUGUGGAAGGCAUUCCGGAAGUGUAUGCAUCCACAUUUCUACAUGAGGCAUCGCCUAUGCAGGCAAUCAAAGGAUGUUGAUGGAUAAGUGUUUCAGGCAGAAUAAUGGCCCUCAAAGAUGUUGACACCAGAAUCUUCAGAACCUUUGCAUAUGUUACCUAACAUGACAAAAGGGACUUUGCUGAUGUGAUUAAGGUUAAGAACUUUGAGAAGGGAAGAUUAUCCUGGAUUAUACAGCUAUUUAUUAUCUACUCUGCACCAAUCAUCAGAUGUAGUGGUGAAAAGAUGGACAAAAUUUCUACUCUCAGCUUACAUUUUGGUGAUGGGAGAUGGACAAUCAACCCAGGUCAAUGACAGAUGCUGGAGCAGAACACAUAGACAUACAGGUCGACGUUUAUUUCUUUCUGAACUUUCCUGGAGGAUCAUCGGCCAUACUCCAGCAGAAGGGUGGAUUUGAAAAAAUAACGUUUCCACGGCAACAGUGGCAGCAAUUCAAAGGAAGACGUUGGAGAAUUCACAUGCUAUUUUAGCUGGCUCUGUGAUUGCAAUCACACAAAUCAUUACAUUCCAGCGAGAUCCCAUCAACAGAAGGUUUUUCCAUUUCAGUCUGUCAAGUUUUUCAGGCAUGAAUACUGUAAGCAAGAAGAGAAAAGUUACAAUAAAUUGACAUUUAUAGUUGAA